rnacentral:misc_RNA from 1 species
GCCUUUCCUUCUCACAAUAAAGCUGAAUCAUGCCAGAAUCAUCUCUCAAAGUUAAAAAAGCAAGCUUUCCAAAAGCUCUGCGUGCCACUAUUCUUCCUGAUAUAGAAACAUAAUCAUUUUCGCUCUUUGAUUCUUCACCAUUUCCCAGAUUCUUAUAAAUUUCUUGCAGUUGACUGGCACUGUGAGUUCGAUCCCACUUGUAAGCAUAGGGUUCCAAG